rnacentral:misc_RNA from 1 species
AAAUUAAUAUGCUAAUGAAAGCCCAAUAUCACCAGAGAUCUUAACUUUUUCACUUAAAUCAAAAUAAACAAAAAAACACACCAUUCACGUUCUGUCCCAGCAAUUGCAACAUGCAUGCCCAAGUGCAGAAAGAAAAUCUAAUUAUCAAAAGAAAACGCAACGAAACUACAAUCCGAAGAAAAUCAAAAUCAUUACAACUGAAUCUUAUAUUAAACCCAACACUAAUCCUCAAUUAUUUAGCUGGCGAAGAAACUUUCAAAUUUCUCGACAACGACAGCAAAACACAAGACCCCAGACUUUUGGCCAAAUUAAAUUGCUCCACUCGGAGCUCAAGUAGAUUUAUUAAUACGUUUGCCAUUAUUUUUCUUCAUUUUCUCGUCAACCAAACAAGCAAACGUAUCAGAGCAGAAUAAGCACCUGUUGAACUGUCUGCGAUGACUUGGAACGCUUGUUGAGAGGCCCAUGCUCUUCCUCUAAGGGAUCCUCAUCCUCCACGAUCUCUAGUUUCACCGGCACCUUGUUCCCAUUUGAUGACGUCGUUUCGGGUUCAGCCGGCGGACUCCCGGAUUUCACUAACUGCACCAUCGAUUUUUCCCCAACCAAACACAGCACAGAGAAAUCCGAAUCCAAAACCAAAAGAUUUUUCCCGUGAAAAUUCAGAAGGAAACAAAUCAUACAAAUCAAAACCGAAUCUCUUUCUUUUUCUGGGAUCAAGAAAAUA